rnacentral:rRNA from 1 species
UGAGCAAUCUGCCCUUCUCAUCGGAAUAAGCGUUGGAAACGACGUCUAAUGCCGAAUACGACCUCCUUUCGCAUGAUCGGAGGUGGAAAGCUCCGGCGGAGAAGGAUGAGCUCGCGGCCUAUCAGCUAGUUGGUGUGGGUAAUGGCCCACCAAGGCGACGACGGGUAGCCGGCCUGAAAGGGUGACCGGCCACACUGGGACUGAGACACGGCCCAGACCGUCCUACGGGAGGNAG